GAAAUUGGAAGAAACAGAAGCAAAGCGCAGAAUAUCAAUUAAAACGGCUGUUGCAUUGACAUCUUUAAUGGUGGGAUACAUGUGGUUUGAGAAUAUAUAUACAAGCUAGACAAGAUCACCUACAACAAAUUCCAUCCAUACACUUCGUGGAUUCCAAUAACGGUCUACACAUGUUUGCGAAAUGUCACCCAGCAUUUUCGUAGCUACAGUUUGACCCUUUUUGCAUGGCUUGGAAAGAUAACUCUGGAGACCUACAUCUCGCAAAUCCAUAUCUGGUUAAGGUCGGGUGUUCCAGAUGGUCAGCCAAAACUGUUGCUUUCUCUGAUCCCAGACUACCCAUUAUUGAAUUUUAUGCUCACCACUUCAAUAU